GAGGGAGCUAGCGUUGUUCGGAAUUACUGGGCGUAAAGCGCGCGUAGGCGGCUUUGUAAGUUAGAGGUGAAAGCCCGGAGCUCAACUCCGGAACUGCCUUUAAAACUGCAUCGCUUGAAUCCAGGAGAGGUGAGUGGAAUUCCGAGUGUAGAGGUGAAAUUCGUAGAUAUUCGGAAGAACACCAGUGGCGAAGGCGGCUCACUGGACUGGUAUUGACGCUGAGGUGCGAAAGCGUGGGGAGCAAACAGG
rnacentral:rRNA from 1 species